GCAGUCGAACGGGAUCCAUCGGGCUUUGCUUGGUGGUGAGAGUGGCGAACGGGUGAGUAAUGCGUGACCGACCUGCCCCAUACACCGGAAUAGCUCCUGGAAACGGGUGGUAAUGCCGGAUGUUCCAGUUGAUCGCAUGGUCUUCUGGGAAAGCUUUCGCGGUAUGGGAUGGGGUCGCGUCCUAUCAGCUUGACGGCGGGGUAACGGCCCACCGUGGCUUCAACGGGUAGCCGGCCUGAGAGGGCGACCGGCCACAUUGGGACUGAGAUACGGCCCAAACUCCUACGGGAGGCAGCAGUGGGGAAUAUUGCACAAUGGGCGCAAGCCUGAUGCAGCGACGCCGCGUGAGGGAUGGAGGCCUUCGGGUUGUAAACCUCUUUUAUCGGGGAGCAAGCGUGAGUGAGUUUACCCGUUGAAUAAGCACCGGCUAACUACGUGCCAGCAGCCGCGGUAAUACGUAGGGUGCAAGCGUUAUCCGGAAUUAUUGGGCGUAAAGGGCUCGUAGGCGGUUCGUCGCGUCCGGUGUGAAAGUCCAUCGCUUAACGGUGGAUCCGCGCCGGGUACGGGCGGGCUUGAGUGCGGUAGGGGAGACUGGAAUUCCCGGUGUAACGGUGGAAUGUGUAGAUAUCGGGAAGAACACCAAUGGCGAAGGCAGGUCUCUGGG
rnacentral:rRNA from 1 species